UUUGCCACAAAUCCUCUUCGUUUGGCGUUUGUAAAACGAGCACAAAUCACACGCACUCGAUUUUAAUUCCUCCUGUGACCUCCCCUUUCUUCAUCUCCCUUUCAAACGAUCGUAUCGAAAGAACCAGGGUGGGGAGAAUUUCAAAAUUACAACCCGGAGAGCGCUAGUUGCUGCAACGCCAUCAAAUUAUUUCUGAGGGCAGACAUUUUUUUGGCAAGAAGUGAGCUUUUUUUUUUUUAAAGGUCCCACUUUGCCUUAUAAACAACGGGGGCGGGAAGGGAAGGCUGUAACUCUUUGUGUCCCGUCGGAUUUUAUUGACAAUUGGUUUGGGAUUGGAUUCUAAAUCAUGGCGUGAACAUGACAUUCGUGUAGAUUUUAGUCAAAAGCCGAGCUUCUCCUCCCCCACACGCUUUUCGCUCGUUCUCUCUCUCUCUCUCUCUCUUUCUUUUUUUAAAUCCAUUUUUUCCAGCUCCACCUUGUUGUUAAGGGCGUCAUCUGCUAUAGAGCCAAUCACCUUCUUCUGGAGUUGCCUGUCAAAUUAAAGCCGAUUCUAAUACGCAAACGCGACUUUUAUAGACCUGCCAAAAUGCAAUUAGAAAUUAUGAGGGAUGGGAGGGGGAGGUGACCGAGGAUUGGGAGAUAAGCUAAAAAUAGUGAAUACGUUGCCUCUACAUACAAACAAGCAAAGAUGAACGAGCGUAUGUUGGUUUAUUUUCCCUUUGUGCUUUGCCAGUAGAAAGAAAUGGAAAAUAAUUCUCCAGGCCCUGCUCUCCUUCCUCUCCACCAUAUAGAGGACAUUUGAUCUGAAUCUCUUCUAGAUGUGUGGAUUUCACCUCCCAAUAUUCCCCAGGUACUGUGGCCUCUGGUGAGAUUACUGGGAAUUAAAGACUAUAUGUGGAUGCCAUGGGAUUGGAGAAUGACACAUCAAAUUUUGGAUCCAUAUGCAAAAGGAGCUUUGGGCCCAAAUUAAUUCAGAGCUGCCAGAUAUGGAAGUGAGUAUGUUUCCUCAAUCAUGCCAUUCCACCAUGACUAACAAAAACAGUGAGUGUUUACAUGCACUAUGUAGUAAUUUGGGGAAAACUAAGGACAUAAUCUUAGAGACAAUUUUGCUAGACAUUAAAAUUCAAUAAAAUUAAAAGGAGACACAUCCAGUGACAGAUAAUGCUAAUGGAACACCCAAGCUGAUGAACAUGCUGCUAGUAGACCUGUUCCAAUACAAUAUGUAUUGUAGGAACUAUAGCAGCAGAGGAGUAGAUUAGGAUGUAUUUUUAUUUAUUUUUUAUAUUGCAGCACCACCACCACAUCCCAACCUAUAAUAUGGGUUCACAUUAUACAUGAAAAUUUUUCAUCAAGUUCAGUAUGAGGGAAAAACAUAAUGACCUCUGCUUUUACUCUGCUUCAUAGAAAAAAGAUUCAUUCACCUUUCAUUAUAUUUAUACAGAAAGACAGGCUGUUCUUGACUUUCUCAUUCACACACAUCUAUAAGCAUCCAAGGUGACAAGUUGUAUGGGCCCAGCAGAUAAAUCAAUUGGUCUUGUACUUUAACGCUUUUUCUCAGAGAUUAAAAAAAAUCCAUUCCACCUUGGCAUCAGUAGUUACCAAAAUGGAUGUGGCUACACCUCAUGAGAUUGUCCUCUAGCUUGCAUGCUUUGACAAGUUAUUCUUACUGGUGCCAUGAAAAUUAUUGGUGUCAUGAAAUCUUCUGGAAUGACUACAAGAUAAGCUGUGCGAAACUGUCUAUCUCAGAUGCUAAUAAAAAAAAGAGCUUCCACUAUGUCAUAAGUGCCACAUUUUGAGAGACAGCACGUGCACAGUAGUGACACCCCUUGCAUGUUUCUGCAGCCUCUUUUUCCAGAAGAACUCUGCUCUGUCCUUGAAUUGGCCAUAAAUGUGGACAAUUCUCUGUUAAAGCUCUUCACAUAGGUGGCUGCGACUGAAUUUCAUGAAAAGAAAUUGCAAACUUUAAAUAAGAAGGGAAUGUAGACAUAUUUCUCCUGAGCCCACCAUCAACUGCUUUGGACAGCCCUGCGUUUCAGAAGUUUUGAGGGAAAAAACUGGGAUGUAUUGCUAUAUGAGUUGUAGGUGCAUGCAGUACUCUUUUUAGACUACUUUCAGGAAAGUUAAUCAUUAUUGACCUGCAGGUUAUGCAACUCAGAGCUGCACUUUAAAAAAGGCAGCUGCACAUGUCUUUUAAAUAAAUAAAUACUUAAAUACGCACAUAAGUUUCCCAUCAGAAGUUCCCAUUACUGAGGGAGAAGACAGAG